rnacentral:rRNA from 1 species
UAUGUGAUCGUCUCUCGCAUAUCAAUAAGCGGAGGAAAAGAAACUAACAAGGAUUCCCCUAGUAACGGCGAGUGAAGCGGGAAGAGCUCAAAUUUGAAAUCUUAAAGGGUUUCCCUUUACGAAUUGUAGUUUAAAGAAGUGUUUUCUGUUGAGGUUUUGGUAAAAGUUCUUUGGAAUAGGACAUCAUAGAGGGUGAGAAUCCCGUAUUUGACCUUUACUUUCAACUUUGUGAUACACUUUCGAAGAGUCGGAUUGUUUGGGAAUGCAGUCCAAAAUGGGUGGUAAAUUUCAUCUAAAGCUAAAUAUUGGCGAGAGACCGAUAGCGAACAAGUACCGUGAGGGAAAGAUGAAAAGAACUUUGAAAAGAGAGUUAAACAGUACGUGAAAUUGUCAAAAGGGAAGCGUUUGACACCAGUGUUGUUUUUCUGAAAAUCAAUUAAAGAACUGUUUAUGCUAAGCUGUUUAGACUUUAUCAGCUAACUGUUUAGUUUUGAGCUUUUCUUUAAUGCACUUUUCAGUUAACAAGUCAACAUCAAUUUCUUUUGCUGUAAAAAAGCUUGAGGAAGGUGGCUUGAGAUUCGUCUUAAGUGUUUAUAGCCUCUUGCCUAUGCAGUCGGAGAGAUUGAGGUCUGCAGCGUAGAUCCUUCGGGGCUAAAUGCAUUUGUGCUAAGUUAUAGCAUUUUAUAGACAACUUGUUGACUAUGAUUUGUCUUGUAGCUUACUCGCUUAUGUUAUUUUACCUACGCUUAGGAUGUUGAGUAGCGACAUACGCAC